CCUACGGGUGGCAGCAGUGGGGGAUAUUGCACAAUGGGGGAAACCCUGAUGCAGCGACGCCGCGUGAGUGAAGAAGUAUUUCGGUAUGUAAAGCUCUAUCAGCAGGGAAGAAAAUGACAGUAUCUGACAAAGAAGCCCCGGCGAACUACGUGCCAGCAGCCGCGGGAAGACGGAGGGGGCAAGCGUUAUCCGGAUUUACUGGGUGAAAAGGGAGCGUAGACGGUUAGGUAAGUCUGGAGUGAAAGCCCGGGGCCCAACCCCGGGACUGCAUUGGAAACUGUGUAACUGGAGUACAGGAGGGGCGGGCGGAAUUCCAGGUGUAGCGGUGAAAUGCGUAGAUAUCAGGAGGAACACCGGCGGCGAAGGCGGCCUGCUGGACUGAAACUGACGUUGAGGCUCGAAAGCGUGGGGAGCAAACAGGAUUAGAUACCCGGGUAGUC
rnacentral:rRNA from 1 species